GAUGAACGCUGGCGGCGUGCCUAAUACAUGCAAGUCGAGCGAACAGACGAGGAGCUUGCUCCUCUGACGUUAGCGGCGGACGGGUGAGUAACACGUGGAUAACCUACCUAUAAGACUGGGAUAACUUCGGGAAACCGGAGCUAAUACCGGAUAAUAUAUUGAACCGCAUGGUUCAAUAGUGAAAGACGGUUUUGCUGUCACUUAUAGAUGGAUCCGCGCCGCAUUAGCUAGUUGGUAAGGUAACGGCUUACCAAGGCAACGAUGCGUAGCCGACCUGAGAGCGUGAUCGGCCACACUGGAACUGAGACACGGUCCAGACUCCUACGGGAGGCAGCAGUAGGGAAUCUUCCGAAAUGGGCGAAAGCCUGACGGAGCAACGCCGCGUGAGUGAUGAAGGUCUUCGGAUCGUAAAACUCUGUUAUUAGGGAAGAACAAAUGUGUAAGUAACUAUGCACGUCUUGACGGUACCUAAUCAGAAAGCCACGGCUAACUACGUG
rnacentral:rRNA from 1 species